UCAUCAUUCAAUUGGGCGAUAGAAAUCAUAUAAACCCUAAUCAUAUUUUGGGAUUUCCUGUUCUCGUCAUCCUCUUGUCGCAUCAAUCACAAGUACUCUGAACGAUGAUGCUCAUCAGGUAACGAUCUAUUCAUCCUCUUCUUUCAAUUUCAUAGGAAUAGGGAUUGUAUUUUUCCUCAUUCUAAGAAAGUAGGGUUUCAUUAGAAAAUGAAAACAGAAAUGAUAAAAAGAAGAUCACCGAGAACCCGAGAUAAAAUAAGUAAUAGUAGCAGCAAUGGAGCGGAUCAUAUCUGUCGUUUUCUUGAUUGUGAUGAUUUAAUUUUGGUUCACAUACUGAGCAGACUUCGUGCCAAAUAAUUAAUGAGAUUAAAGUCUGUAUGUAAACAUUGGAGAUCCAUAAUCAAACAAGACACAUCCUUAAUCAAAUUGCACGAAGCAAAUCGAUGUAAGGAUAUUACUACUCUUCUUGUAUAUCCAGCAUGGCCUCUUUCUGAUAGCGAAGAACCACAACAUCCUCUUCCUGGAAGCGUAGAAAUCAGGAGUAUUUUGUUCCCCCAAAAGGAUUUGAAGCUGGAUGAUGACCGUAAAAGAAGAUCCACAAACUCUAGGACGAAAACUGAUGUUACUUUAUUUUCCAGUCAUAAUAUGAUUCUUGAUGUUAGAUUCAAUAUGCUCGAACCAGUUCAUGGAUUGUUAUGUUUUGUCAAACAUGAUGAGCCUAAUUCGGUUCUCAUUUGCAAUCCGUGCACAGGAGAAAAAACACCUUGGAUUGAGAUAAGAACAAGUGAAGUAUUUGAUAGCAGCUUUGGGCAGGAACAAAUAGCUAAUUGUCGUGGAAAUAUGAGACUCAGCUAUGAUUAUUUGUUUGGAUUUGGAUUCGACCAAACUACUAAUGAACACAAAGUGUUUUGUGUAUGUAAGAUUGUUCUAUGUAAGAUUAUAAAUAUGCGGGCUUGAGAGUUUCCUAUGGUAGUUAGUCGUAAAGUUAUUUGCGGGAUUCUCACAGUAGGUGAGAAUAGAUGGAGGAAGAUUGAAGAUCAUCUUUUUCCGCUCAAUACUGUGCAGAAUGAAAAAUCGGUUUAUGUGAAUGGUUCCAUAUGUUGGAUCCAUUACCAAAGACCCCCGAACAAGAAUGAAGUCAUUGUGUUUGAUGUUGGAAGAGAGACAUUUAGGGUGAUCAUUUUCCCGGAUUGCAUCCCAAAGGAAUUCGUAUAAUACCGGAAAAUUAGUUAAUGUAUUAGUAGCAGUGGAUGGUCAUUUAGCUGUCUUGUACCAAAAAGGAGUCGACCUGCUCAACUUGUCAAUUUUUAAUGAUAAUCAUGGUGGUGCUGGUGGUGAUUGGAUCAGUGAAACAAUCCAAAUGCCGUGCCCAUGGGGUGCACUGGAGAAUUUAGAUUUUAAAGACAUUACUGGCACAUAUUUAACAGUCAUAAAAUUCAUAACAUGCGGACAGAAACGCCGGGAAUGCUUGCGUUAUUAUAAUAAAAAAGAGAAAAAAUAUUACAAGAAUCAGUUUGAGUGUUCAUUGGAUACUACUGGUCCUUAUGUUGCUGAAUAUCAGAUUAGUCCUUUUUGCGAGAAACUGUUGCCUGUUCAGACCAUUCAGCAUGGUGAAGAAAUCAACUGAUUUUCUGAUACAUAAUUGUUCUCCGACGACAUCAGUUAGGAAUGCCCGCCAGAUGCAAGUUACAUGCAAGAUUCAAAAAGUGCCACUAGCUUGCAGACAAAGCUCUCUCAACAGGCGAAAAUUAAGCACUUACUGGUGGAGAAGAAGCAGUCUUACAAACAAGUGCUUAAGAAAUUACCUCAUUCAGAUGAAUUACGCACAGCACUUGCAAGUUGGAAUAUCUAUAGAUUCUGGUUUUAUAUUUUUAUUUUAUUGAAAUGAACUACUGCUCUAGAUUUAGCAGUUUUGUUAAGCAGACAUUUGUAUCUGCAUCUUGCUUUCAAUAUGUUGUGCAAGAGAUUUAACUGUACGCGAGUUUUCAUCCUA